UCUCCCAUAAUUUUAUAUAUGCUUGAGAGUCAUGGUUUUGCUUUUUGAAAAUUAUACUUUAACAAGAAUAGUCCUAUGUAUACUUAUGUUAGUUAAAUCUUCACAGAGGAGGUUUUAUUGUUUUAAACUGGUACUUAUGCAAACCUCAACUGUGAUUCUAAAGCUAUUACUUAACUUGGGGCCCACAUCCACCCUAUGGUAAGAUUCUAUAGCACACAACAUCUAAAGAUCUCAGAAAACUCUUUCUAGACAAUCCCAUGCUCAAGCUUGGCUCUUGCCUUUAAUUAUGUUGCUCUUCCUUCUUGCCAUCUCUAAACCCUACGUAUGAAUCUUGGGCUCUGGUGGAGCCUCACAUUCUGCUGCUCAAUGGGCUUGGGUAGAAGCCAGAGGGAAUCAAUCUAGAAGAACGUGCUGCCAGAAGAGGUACAGGUAGUGGAGACAUCCACUAACCACAGGGCCUGGCAAAUUCUGGUCAUCAGCCUAGUGUAGUAAUUGUGCCUGAUGAAAAAUGUUUCAACAGCAGCAGGAAACAGAGCCCAGAAAAUAAUAACAACAAUAACAAGUAUUUACAGAAAAAUAUAAUCG
rnacentral:lncRNA from 1 species